UCCAUGCUUCUGCUUCCCACUUGACAAACACCAGAUCUGAGCUUCUCCCCCUAUAAAUUGACAUUAGCGAAAUCCUUUUGUUUUCACCCCCAUCUUCCAUUUUCUCUUCCCUCUUCUUCCCUCUCACCAAAGGACCGUUCUCCUGCUCUGUGCAGGUUGUGGCGAGUGUUUCAAUCUAGUUGUAAUGCUGUACUUGUGCUACUUGUACUACUCUUUUUGAAUCACCGUGGCCAGUUGUGAAGGAUAUGGCUUGCUCUCGCUAUGCGCCUGGUUCGGAGAUAGAGAAUUCUCGGUGCUUUCGUUGGCUCGCACAAGGCUAAUUGAUGCUUUGUCAAUUGGCGUCCCCUUUUCUGUGGACACUAGGUUUCCUGAAGAUGUCAAGUACGUCUGUGUCGACAAACCGCCGUUGUUUGUGCAAUUGGUUGAAGUUAUACGAGUGCUUGCAACCCCUUACAAACUGUUAACUGAGGCAGCCAUUAAAGAUUAUUUUUCUGCGAUUGUUCUCAUGCGUGAGAUGAUUCAUAAUACCAAAGUGGACAGAGAUCGUAUUGUUUUUUGUAGAAAAACUUUUGAGGCUGAGUUUCACUUGUUUUGGGAGUCGGCUUUUCGUCACCCUACGGAAUGAAGGCACCUACAAGGGUCACGACCGAGUGUGAUACUCUUUUGCCCUUUUGCUGUUCUUGCUUUGAUUUAUUUCGAAAAGUAGAGUGAUUGGGAAAUUCAUUCAUCUACCAAAUAUAGUCACAAAACUUCCCUUUGGCUCUUAAUUCGUCCUUUUUCUGAUGUUACAUUUCCUCCUGUUAUAUUUUAUCAUGUAAUUUUUAUUAAAU